rnacentral:sRNA from 1 species
UGCAUUUGUAGCCCAUGAGGAUGAGAACCUCCGGGGGCGGGGAGGUUCGACUCGAGCGAAGCGAGAGAACGUUGCGCCAGCAACGGC